UACGAAGGGGGCUAGCGUUGCUCGGAAUGACUGGGCGUAAAGGGCGCGUAGGCGGACUUUUAAGUCAGGGGUGAAAUCCUGAGGCUCAACCUCAGAACUGCCUUUGAUACUGAGGGUCUCGAGACCGGUAGAGGUAAGUGGAACUGCGAGUGUAGAGGUGAAAUUCGUAGAUAUUCGCAAGAACACCAGUGGCGAAGGCGGCUUACUGGACCGGUUCUGACGCUGAGGCGCGAAAGCGUGGGGAGCAAACAGG
rnacentral:rRNA from 1 species